rnacentral:rRNA from 1 species
GGUCAAGCUACAAAGGGCGCAUGGUGAAUGCCUUGGCAUCAGGAGCCGAUGAAGGACGUGAUAAGCUGCGAUAAGCUUCGGGUAGGCGCACAUAGCCAGAGAUCCGAAGAUUUCCGAAUGAGGAAACUCACAUGGGAAACCCCAUGUAUCCAUAGGUGAAUACAUAGCUUAUGGAAGGUAAACCCAGGGAACUGAAACAUCUAAGUACCUGGAGGAAGAGAAAGAAAAAUCGAUUUUCUUAGUAGCGGCGAGCGAAAGGGAAAGAGCCCAAACCGGAAAUUUAUUUCCGGGGUUGCGGACAGAACAUUAACGAGAAGUUAUGGAUAAUUGAAGAUGACUGGAAAGUCAAGCCAUAGAGUGUAAUAGCCACGUAAGUGAAAUUCAUAAUAAUCAAGUUCUGAUCCAGAGUACCACGAGACACGUGAAACCUUGUGGGAAGCAGGGAGGACCACCUCCCAAGGCUAAAUACUACCUGAUGACCGAUAGUGAAGCAGUACCGUGAGGGAAAGGUGAAAAGAACCCCGGGAGGGGAGUGAAAUAGAACCUGAAACCGUGUGCCUACAACCGCUCAGAGCCCCUUAUGAGGGUGAUGAGGUGCUUUUUGUAGAACGAGCCAACGAGUUACGGUAUGUAGCAAGGUUAAGUACUUAAGGUACGGAGCCGAAGGGAAACCGAGUCUUAAUAGGGCGACUAGUUGCAUGCCGUAGACCCGAAACCGGGUGACCUAUCCAUGGCCAGGUUGAAGCGGGGGUAAAACCCCGUGGAGGACCGAACCACGUUGCUGUUGAAAAAGCAUGGGAUGAGCUGUGGAUAGCGGAGAAAUUCCAAUCGAACUCGGAGAUAGCUGGUUCUCCUCGAAAUAGCUUUAGGGCUAGCGUCGGAUAUGAGUAGUGGAGGUAGAGCACUGAAUGGGCUAGGGGGCAUAGCGCUUACCGAACCUUAUCAAACUCCGAAUGCCACAUACUAUUAGUCCGGCAGUCAGACUGCGAAAGAUAAGUUCCGUAGUCAAAAGGGAAACAGCCCAGAUCGUCAGCUAAGGUCCCAAAGUGUAAGUUAAGUGGAAAAGGAUGUGGGAUUUCUAAGACAACUAGGAUGUUGGCUUAGAAGCAGCCACUCAUUAAAAGAGUGCGUAAUAGCUCACUAGUCGAGAGAUCCUGCGCCGAAGAUGUCCGGGGCUCAAACUUACCACCGAAGCUACGGGUUCACACUUAUGUGUGAGCGGUAGAGGAGCGUCGUAAUCGGGCUGAAGUCGUACCGUAAGGAGCGGUGGACUGAUUACGAGUGAGAAUGUUGGCAUUAGUAGCGAGAUGUGGGUGAGAAUCCCACAGGCCGAAUAUCUAAGGUUUCCUCAGGAAGGUUCGUCCGCUGAGGGUUAGUCGGGACCUAAGCCGAGGCCGAAAGGCGUAGGCGAUGGACAAUCGGUUGAUAUUCCGAUACCACUACUGAUCGUUAUUAUCGAUGGUGUGACGGAGAAGGAUAGAGUGUGCUAGCUAUUGGAUGCUAGUCUAAGCGUUUAGGGAGUUAGGAAAGGCAAAUCCAUCCUAACAAUUCUGAGGCGUGAUGGGGAAGGUUCUACGGAACCGAAGUACUUGAUUCCAUGCUUCCAAGAAAAGCAUCUAGAGAGAGAUGUAGUGCCCGUACCGCAAACCGACACAGGUAGGUGAGGAGAGAAUCCUAAGGCCGGCGGAAGAAUUACAGUUAAGGAACUCGGCAAAUUGACCCCGUAAGUUCGCGAGAAGGGGUGCCUACGAGAGUAGGCCGCAGAGAAUAGGCCCAAGCAACUGUUUAGCAAAAACACAGGUCUCUGCUAAAGCGAAAGCUGAUGUAUAGGGGCUGACGCCUGCCCGGUGCUGGAAGGUUAAGGGGAACACUUAGCGCAAGCGAAGGUGUGAACUUAAGCCCCAGUAAACGGCGGCCGUAACUAUAACGGUCCUAAGGUAGCGAAAUUCCUUGUC